rnacentral:lncRNA from 1 species
CCACACCUUAAUUUGCCAGUUGCUUGAAUUGCAGAUUCAAUUUUAUGCUACUAUACAGUUAAUAAGUACUUUGUUUGCCACCAUAUCACAAUUUUUUCCAUUUGUUUUCUCAUUAUCAUUGAUAAUAGUUUAUAUUGAAAUAAAAUUAUUGAACUGUUGUUGCUUUGUCAGCUUUAAUAUUUUUUUAUUUCUUUUUGGCCCCCCCAAAAAAAAUUCUGGAUCCACCCUGAUUGUAUAUAAAUGACAUGCCCCUACAAGUAAGUAAUAUUGAAAUUUUAUGUUAGAGAGUUGAUUUUAGGAUAUGUUUCCAAUAACGACUAGCAUAUUCAGUACUACAAUAUAUAUAGUCUGAGUUUGCAUUGUCAUUCCCCAACCUCUUCUUUCUCUAUCUUUGCUUCCAGAUAGUAACAUGAUUUGAUUGCCUGUUUUAUUACUUGAUAUAAUUCUUAAAUUAUGUGACCCUAGAUGCAUUCAUUCAGUGUGAAACUUGUGCUUUUAUCUUUCAUCGCUCGAUGCUUUAAAGAUUAUCUUUUCCUCUUGUUGAAUUUGCUUAACAAAUGGCUGAAAUAGCUAACUUUGAUUUUUAGAUAAGUUUCCAAGAGUUCAAGAACAAGUUACUUGAACCUGGUCUAGUGGAUCAUAUUGUUGUUUCCAACAAAUCAGUUGCAAAAGUUUACGUGAAGAGUUCUCCACCCCGUGAUAUUCAAACCAACGGUGACGCCAUUCAAGGCUCUGUGGGUGAUACCAAUGAUCAGAGAAAAGUGAGCCACUAUAAAUACUAUUUUACUAUUGGAAGUGUUGAAUCCUUUGAGGAGAAGCUUGAGGAAGCCCAGGAGGCAUUAGGAAUAGAUCCACACAAUCCUCUUGUUGAAUUUGCUUAACAAAUGGCUGAAAGCUAACUUUGAUUUUUAGAUAAGUUUCCAAGAGUUCAAGAACAAGUUACUUGAACCUGGUCUAGUGGAUCAUAUUGUUGUUUCCAACAAAUCAGUUGCAAAAGUUUACGUGAAGAGCUCUCCACCCCGUGAUAUUCAAACCAACGGUGACGCCAUUCAAGGCUCUGUGGGUGAUACCAAUGAUCAGAGAAAAGUGAGCCACUAUAAAUACUAUUUUACUAUUGGAAGUGUUGAAUCCUUU